AUUGAACGCUGGCGGCAUGCUUUACACAUGCAAGUCGAACGGCGGCGCGGGCUUCGGCCUGGCGGCGAGUGGCGAACGGGUGAGUAAUACAUCGGAACGUGCCCAGUAGUGGGGGAUAGCUCGGCGAAAGCCGGAUUAAUACCGCAUACGACCCGAGGGUGAAAGCGGGGGAUCUUCGGACCUCGCGCUAUUGGAGCGGCCGAUGGCAGAUUAGCUAGUUGGUGGGGUAAAGGCCUACCAAGGCGACGAUCUGUAGCUGGUCUGAGAGGACGACCAGCCACACUGGGACUGAGACGCGGCCCAGACUCCUACGGGAGGCAGCAGUGGGGAAUUUUGGACAAUGGGCGAAAGCCUGAUCCAGCAAUGCCGCGUGUGUGAUGAAGGCCUUCGGGUUGUAAAGCACUUUUGGCGGGAACGAAAAGGACUGUGCCAAUACCACGGUUCGAUGACGGUACCCGCAGAAUAAGCACCGGCUAACUACGUG
rnacentral:rRNA from 1 species